AUAUGAAAGCAAGAAAAAAAAAAAGGAAGGAGAAUAUCUGGGAUUGUCAUUCUUGUGAGGAAUUCAUCAAAUAAACAUUUCAGUGACUAAGCAAACAGUGAGAUCUGGGACAUUGACAUUGAUAUUUGCUGUGGUAAUAUGUGAGUGAGUUUGUGUGCGUGUUUGAGAUUAUUUAAAGCCUGGAGUUCAGUGCCACCCCUACAAAGAAAGCUUUUCCAGAGGUUCACGACACUCAUCAUGAUCACGUGACACAUUUUUGCAUGUACUCGAAGUGUGUCUAAAUCUGACUUGUAGACUGUUGUUUUGAAUUGACUUAAUUUAUCAGGAUUCUUAGUAUUCAGAAAUAUCUAUUUUUUCAGUUGCUAUGUUGUGAUUAACCAACAUCGAUAUUUUUCAUUUAAUUUUAGUACUUUAGCACAGUUGUGCCAAACUUAUUUUUUAAUGUGAUGUUCUUGUGGCAGAUGUGAAGGUCCGCUGCUAAUCCAUGAUGAACAUGAAUUUAAAACAUGGUAACACGGAAGUUUAUUCACAAUGUUUAGGAGUAUUUUUUUAAUUUCUGAGCGCUCGGCUAUAAUUGCUUUACGAGUCGGACCUUGUGCUCUGGUAUUUGAAGACUGACAGGUUGAAAAGAUGUAUUUUUGCCUACUGUACAAUUUUGUUUUCUUGGUGUUCCCCUUUUAAAGUCUUAUAUUUUUUCUACAUUGGUUUAAACUGAAUCUCAAAACAGAGUGCAGGUGUGCACAAGCAUUCACGUUCUAAUAACUGCAUGACCACAAUGAGAAAAAAAAAGCAUUUCAGAUAUGUGAGAAUUACUGUAAUGUGAAUAUUUUUGCUGUCAGAAUUUCUUGCAUAAUGUUUCAGGGUGAAAUUGUAGUAGAUGACGUAGGGCAAAACAUCCAGCCAGCCAAUUGAAUCGUUCGUUUUGUUGUUGUGUUUGUGUACUGUUGUUGUUGUUGUUGUUGUUGUUGUUGUUAAUUUCUCACUGAUCAAGAACUACCUGAUUGAAACACCUCACACCUGUGCUGCUUCUGUCAGAUACUGGAAGCGAUCAUUUUCCGGCGAGGUUGAAUGGAAGGUCUUACUAAGAAGUUUGCGACUUGAAAUCAAGGCCUUGGAGACAUGCAAAAGGUUUUUUUUUUAUUGGAAUUGGUGUUUUAUUUAAUGCUACAUGUCUGCAUGAUCUUUCAACAUGUAUUGGGAGUAUGCUCUGAGAAAAAAAAAAAGGUUAGCUAUAGUCGCAUCAAACUCUUUGCAUCAAAAGUGGACAGUCAGAGCAUAAAUAUCCUGUUCUUACAUAUCGUAGACAUGCAGCUCUGCUGGAAACUACACAUACUGACCAUCAAACGCCUUUCAGCAGUGCUUGACCUUGUUUUAGGAACGAAUGGAAAGACCUGGAGAUUUUGUGAUCGGUCAGCCUUUGUCAUACUGAAGCGUUUUGGUUUCAUAAGCUAUCAGUGGGCUUUCAGUCAUCAAAACCGUCUAAAAUCUGUCUUUGCAAUACAACUGUCUUCCUGUAAGUGCAGAUUUAUUCAGAAAUAAAUCUUGACAGAAAUGA